CACUUACCCUCCACGUGGAAGGACUUCAUUUCGUCUAGAGGGAAGCAGAGUUACUGGGGAGAGUUGGUGAGUCUUGUCAGUGAUACCAAAAAAAGAUCUGAUGAAAAGCAGGUCUAUCCUGAAGAUCCUUCUCUUCAGCUCAGAAGUUAAUGAUUAGAGAAAGUAACCCCAGCAACUCCUUCUCUGACACCUAGCAAAGUGCCUUGAUCAAUGAAGAUCCGUCGAAAGGAGAAAUGAAU